CCCUGAGUGUACUGCAGUAUCUUCUCUAGCAGAACUGGAUACUUUGUGAUGCGCUGCGUGACCAACAGGAUGAACUCUGGCACUUCUCUUCGUCUGACCAGAGAGUUAUUACUCUGUUGCUGUCAGAAGAGAAGGAAUCUCUUUGAAGACAUUGACAGCCUCCAUGUGGUGACUGCAAAAUUCUCCGUACACCUGCUUCAUCGUCUCAGCGUUUUCAUCAGAGAACUGAAGGAGUUGACAAUGACGGUGAUGACCACUAACAUCGAUCUCUGAUUAUCACUGACUGCCAACCUGCCACCACCAACCUGCUGAAGAAGUACGUCUCCAAUUCGAUGGAUGAGGAGCUGAAGAUGAUGGGGAAGAGCAGGCAGAGGAAGAGAAAAGAAAAGCCGAAGAACUUUCCUUAGCAAAACCUGGAAGAUAAACAGGAAUAUGAACCAGACUCAGUGUGGAGUUGGAGUUGGCAAGUUAUUUGUAUCUGGAUUUCAGAUUAAAAGUGUUUUUAAUGCUUUUAGUGUUUGAUGUUUUAGUAAUACCAUUUCUGUGGUUUAACAUUUUUUAAAUGACAUGCCAAAUAAUGACUAGAGUUUUUUCUGCUCCAUUGCCUCUGCCACAAGAUUUUGCUAAAACUGCCAGCCAGCUAGCUGAAAGUAAGUCCCCUCUUACGUUUAGGUGCUUACAAGAAAGGCUAAAUCGACUGGUCAUUGUCAUUGUUGCUGAUCUAUUCACAUAAUAUCCUUAUCAACAGAUUAGCCACCAAAGUUGGCAUCAACACAAAACUGAACAUGUCUCUUUUGUGCAACUCAAUUGAAACAAAAUUCAUGUCCAGCUCCUUUUUAGUCAUAUCUUCUUUGUGUUUUACUUUUUUACCCUUAUUCACACCUUCUGCAAAUGCAGCGUAUUUUUUAACCUCCCAACUCCUUUUGCAACUUCUAUCAGUUUUUUAAAAUUUAAAACCAACAGAAGUCCUUGUCGGCACAAAAUGCAGAAUAAUGAAACAUGGGAGUUCUCUAAUUAAAAUUGACAACACACCAGUUCUUCCAUCCCCUCAGGUUGAAAAACUAACUGUUAUUCUCAACUGAACUCGGGUUCUUUCAGGCACACAUUAUCAAGAUAAUAUCUUCAACAUAUUUCUUUCUGCUUAGCUUUAAUAGCCUUCUCUCAUCUGUUGCUCCAAGCAACACUGUGUUAUCACUUGAUCUACAUAUCAUGUUUCUUGUCACUGUAUGGUUAUCAUGAGGGCCAGAGCUUCCAGCUACUUUGCCCUCUGGAAUUUCCUUUUACUGCAACUCCACCAGUAAAAGAGACUGAACUUGUAAAAAGAUUAUCAAAGCAGAAGCAGACACAUUGUAGAGUUAAAUCACACAAACCCUCUUGUGUUGUUUUAGGAUGAUCAAAUCAUAGGUAGUUCCUCUGAUUUCUCAAAGAUUUCUGAUAGUAACCCUUAAAUAAUCUAACAUUUUGUGGGACCAUUCCAGUAGAAGCAUCUGGAUUUUACUAUUGUCCUCCAGAGCUGCUGACAGGAAGUUAGCUCUUUCCACUUUCAUUCUCAUAUUAAAACAAAGCUGUUCAACUCACUCUGAUGAUAAUUUGUCUUAUUGAUUUUAAAAGUAUGUACAGUAUUUUUAAACUUUUAACUUUUCUCUGGUUUUAGGUUGUUUUACUUCUGAAAAAUAAUCUAAAAGGUGGAUAUAAACAAAAUAUGUUGCACAGUAAGUGCUUGAAAAUGUCAACUAAAGUUAGUAGUUGUGCUUUAAUGUUUUAACUUGAAUUUUUGCACCACAUUGAAAAUAGCAAAAACUGUUAUUGAUUGCAGUACUAUCAUAGUAACAAUUGGGGAUUUUCUGUUGUAACUGAAAGGAUCAAGAUGAUGUUAGAUAUGUUUAUUUUAAAUCUUUGCUGUACUACUCAGGGUUAUCAUGCCAGCCUAGUUUCAAAGACUUGUGGAAUACUUGUAUAUAUCCUUUCAAAAGCUUUCAAUUCCUGAAGAAAUGCAGUAGAUGACAUUAAAAAUGUAUUGGAUUUCAUUUUCUUAACUGAUAAUUUCGUAUUAAUUACUUCAGAUUAUGAGCAAUCUUAAUUUACCAAUAGUGCAAGAAAAAGGUGAGCGCAAAAACACACAUAAAGACAAUCCAGGCUUCACCCCCAGCUGAGGUGGAUUGAAGUUUAACUGUACAGACUGGGGGACGAAGGGCAGAGGUUUACUGAAC